rnacentral:rRNA from 1 species
CAGUCGCCGCGGGAAUACAGAGGGUGCGAGCGUUAAUCGGAUUUACUGGGAGUAAAGCGUGCGUAGGCGGCUUUUUAAGUCGGAUGUGAAAUCCCUGAGCUUAACUUAGGAAUUGCAUUCGAUACUGGGAAGCUAGAGUAUGGGAGAGGAUGGUAGAAUUCCAGGUGUAGCGGUGAAAUGCGUAGAGAUCUGGAGGAAUACCGAUGGCGAAGGCAGCCAUCUGGCCUAAUACUGACGCUGAGGUACGAAAGCAUGGGGAGCAAACAGGAUUAGAUACCCGCGUAGUCCCUGUCUCUUAUAC